AGAGUUUGAUCCUGGCUCAGGAUGAACGCUGGCGGCGUGCCUAAUACAUGCAAGUCGAACGCUUUGUGGUUCAACUGAUUUGAAGAGCUUGCUCAGAUAUGACGAUGGACAUUGCAAAGAGUGGCGAACGGGUGAGUAACACGUGGGAAACCUACCUCUUAGCAGGGGAUAACAUUUGGAAACAGAUGCUAAUACCGUAUAACAAUAGCAACCGCAUGGUUGCUACUUAAAAGAUGGUUCUGCUAUCACUAAGAGAUGGUCCCGCGGUGCAUUAGUUAGUUGGUGAGGUAAUGGCUCACCAAGACGAUGAUGCAUAGCCGAGUUGAGAGACUGAUCGGCCACAAUGGGACUGAGACACGGCCCAUACUCCUACGGGAGGCAGCAGUAGGGAAUCUUCCACAAUGGGCGAAAGCCUGAUGGAGCAACGCCGCGUGUGUGAUGAAGGGUUUCGGCUCGUAAAACACUGUUGUAAGAGAAGAAUGACAUUGAGAGUAACUGUUCAAUGUGUGACGGUAUCUUACCAGAAAGGAACGGCUAAAUACGUGCCAGCAGCCGCGGUAAUACGUAUGUUCCAAGCGUUAUCCGGAUUUAUUGGGCGUAAAGCGAGCGCAGACGGUUAUUUAAGUCUGAAGUGAAAGCCCUCAGCUCAACUGAGGAAUUGCUUUGGAAACUGGAUGACUUGAGUGCAGUAGAGGAAAGUGGAACUCCAUGUGUAGCGGUGAAAUGCGUAGAUAUAUGGAAGAACACCAGUGGCGAAGGCGGCUUUCUGGACUGUAACUGACGUUGAGGCUCGAAAGUGUGGGUAGCAAACAGGAUUAGAUACCCUGGUAGUCCACACCGUAAACGAUGAGUGCUAGGUGUUUGAGGGUUUCCGCCCUUAAGUGCCGCAGCUAACGCAUUAAGCACUCCGCCUGGGGAGUACGACCGCAAGGUUGAAACUCAAAGGAAUUGACGGGGGCCCGCACAAGCGGUGGAGCAUGUGGUUUAAUUCGAAGCAACGCGAAGAACCUUACCAGGUCUUGACAUCCUUUGACCACUCUAGAGAUAGAGCUUCCCCUUCGGGGGCAAGGUGACAGGUGGUGCAUGGUUGUCGUCAGCUCGUGUCGUGAGAUGUUGGGUUAAGUCCCGCAACGAGCGCAACCCUUA
rnacentral:rRNA from 1 species